rnacentral:rRNA from 1 species
CUUUCUUGGAGAGUUUGAUCCUGGCUCAGGACGAACGCUGGCGGCGUGCCUAAUACAUGCAAGUCGAGCGAAUCUUGAGGUGCUUGCACCUCUUGAUUAGCGGCGGACGGGUGAGUAACACGUGGGCAACCUGCCUGUAAGACUGGGAUAACACCGGGAAACCGGUGCUAAUACCGGAUAACUCUUUUCCUCUCAUGGGGAAAAGCUGAAAGUCGGUUUCGGCUGACACUUACAGAUGGGCCCGCGGCGCAUUAGCUAGUUGGUGAGGUAACGGCUCACCAAGGCGACGAUGCGUAGCCGACCUGAGAGGGUGAUCGGCCA